rnacentral:rRNA from 1 species
UGUGGCUUAAUUUGACUCAACGCGGGAAAUCUUACCGGGUCCGGACACACUGAGGAUUGACAGACAAAUACACACACUACGGUGUGUGCAUGAAAUAUGCUAGUUCUUUCAUGAUUAUGUGAUAGGUGGUGCAUGGCCGUUCUUAGUUCGUGGAGUGAUCUGUCUGCUUAAUUGCGUUUCACUAAAGGCACAUACACAUAAUAUUGAUGCGUUGUGUGUAUAAUUUAUAAUUAUACGCAUACACACAUAUUAUAUUGUGCUUUGAAAGCAACGAACGUGACCGCAACCUCUUGUUGCCUGUAUAUAUGUGUAUUUUAUACACACCACAGGCUAUUAUAAACUAGAGGGACCGCUGUUACUUUCUUUUAAACCAGAGGAAGGUUGCGGCAAUAACAGGUCUGUGAUGCC